rnacentral:rRNA from 1 species
CUGAACCAGCCAAGUAGCGUGAAGGAUGAAGGCUCUAUGGGUCGUAAACUUCUUUUAUAUAAGAAUAAAGUGCAGUAUGUAUACUGUUUUGUAUGUAUUAUAUGAAUAAGGAUCGGCUAACUCCGUGCCAGCAGCCGCGGUAAUACGGAGGAUCCGAGCGUUAUCCGGAUUUAUUGGGUUUAAAGGGGGCGUAGGUGGACUGGUAAGUCAGUUGUGAAAGUUUGCGG